CGGAGUAGCUCAGUUGGUCAGAGCAACGGUUUUGUAAACCGUAGGUCGUGAGUUCGAAUCUCACCUCCG
rnacentral:tRNA from 1 species